GCCUCAGGGCCCAUUAGACACAGGACCGGCUCUGGUUGUAAUAGAUAUAUAUACACACAAGAAACGGCUGCAAGGACGGGAGUUCGGCGGAAGAAAAGAGGGCAGCUGCUGAGAUAAAAAAAGGUGCUGAAAAUAUACUCAAGAUCAAGACCGUGGUUGAGUUUUGGGAGUCUCUUCUCCAAGUAAAACAAUUACAGCUGCUGGAGGAAAAAAUAAAGGGCUGCCUACGGUUUGGAAUCACAUAUAUGUUCAUGCAAAAGGUGGGCUGGUGAGGUAUUUAUAGAUGCAAAUGUUGGCCAGCUGUUGAAUUGACAUAUACACACAAAGGCAGCACCUUUGGGAAAAUAUUAUAUACAUACACGCACAGUUGGAGCAGACAGUUGAAGAACGAACUGCCUGCUGGAAAUUAAAAGAGAGGCUGCUGGUAUGUACACACACACACACACGACAAGAGCCAGAAAAAAGGGGCUGAAUUGAGGGACAAUUGGAAAGUUAAUUGAUUUCAUAGACAAACUAUGUCAAACGAAUCGGCAGCCAACAGCAUUGUGGAAUUCAUCACAUUUCGUCCAUUUUUGGGUGAUAUCUUUCCACUUUCAUUCUUUUAAUUUCAACUCGUUUAAUUUCAACAUUAUGUGUGGCUGUGAUGAACCCUUGUUAUGAAUUUUUGGUUUGAAUAAUUAGAUUCACGUUAAAUUUGUUUGAAUUCUUGGAUGUUUAUUAUGGAUUAAUUUGUUUUUCAAUUUAACUGGCCAUUAAUUGAAUAGUUUGUGGAUUUUGUUGUUAUUGAGAGAAACAAUAGGAUCAUUAGUACAUAGUAAUAAUUAUUGUGAGGUUCGAUAAAGGAUAGAGAUAUACCUCUAUACUUCACAUAGUUUUUAAAGAUGUUCUAGCUCGUUUAAUGCAUUUAUCAUGUUUGUAUCUUUCAUCGAGAGAUAGGAAAGUCACAUGAGAGGAAUAGGUUUGAUAACUAUCGAGAGAGGUUUUCAAUUAAAAUAGGAAAAUUAACAAACAAGCAUUAUUUCAAAUAGUCAUUUUAAAUUGUUGAACUAAAAAUGGAUUAAUAUGGGGGAUUCUACAUCUUAGCAAUAUUUCUUGCGAAAUUGAUAAAUUUUCUUUACGUUGCUUUUAAGUUAGUUGAUAGAUUUAAUAGUGUUUAGUUACAACUCGAUUUUGCUAUUCAAUUAAGCGUAGUGUUAGCUUUAACUUGAUCAAACACAUAGUCUCCAUGAGUUUGACACUCUACACACCACUUUAUUACUUGUUUACGAUCCCGUUCAUUUGCGGGUAAUCAAACGAUCAAUUAACUGCAUUUUUCUUGAUAAAUCUCUACACUUGAAGCAAUCUUUAGUUUAUUUAGAUUGUGAGUCAUAUUAGGUGGUUUCUUUAUAUGGUUGGUAAAUCAGGAUGCUAUUUAAGCUUUUUUGCUAUGCUCUAUUAUGGUUGUAGAGCUCACUUAAUUUAAAGCAUUGUUCUAGCAUGUGUGUUUUUUUUAGAUCAUGUUACUAUUAUUUAGGCUUUAUUACUUUUUGGAUGGAGUCUAUAUUUAGGAGGACAAGAAAGAACUGAGAAGAGAAAUUUUAUUUUGUUUUAACUUAUUUCAUUGCACAGAUACUUGUAUAAUCCAUUUGAUUUCAAGGCACAGUAUUGUGAUUGGGUUUGGUUUUACCAAAUUAUUUUUGUUCUCCCAGAAAUUAUGUUAUUUUUUCUCGUCAGGGGAAGGGCUUCUAGUCUCUGCUGGCUUUGUGAUCUAUUUUAGGGAGAUGAUAUUCUACAGUGCUUCAAAGGUCAGAUUUAUUAUUAUGUUUGCUUUCCCCAUUAUAUAUUUAUUCAAUAUUUUUGCUAGGAGUAAUCUUUUAUCGAACAUAUUCCUGGUUAUUGGGCAUCAUCCAAGUUAGUUGUUCUGGAAAAAUAGCAUCAAGAGAGAUGAGAUACAUAUAAUUAUUGAGGUAAUGUUUUGUGUGUUUCAACAAGUUGCCAAUUACUGCUUUCUGCUUUAUUAAAUUUUUUAAUGUGAGAAAAGAAUUUAGUAUUGCCAUAUUAAUUCUUAUUUGAUUUGAUUUGAUAACUUAUCUUCUGAUACUUGUGGAAAAUGAUUCUUGUAAGUUGAAUAUUUUGCUGUGUCAACUAAACAAGAUGGAAGGUAGAGUUUCGGUAAAGAAAAAAUAGAAUUGGUAAGCAUAUGGUAAAGUCUUAUAAGAAUAAAUAAAAAAAUGUAAUGAUGAAGUUUGUAAUUUAUGGAAGGGAUAUAUAUUCAUAUAUUAAAUAGAUUCUUUAAUUGAUAUGUAUCAAAAUUAAAUUACAUUUUAAAUGAUCCCUUAUUUUAAAUCAAACUAUAGGUGAUCUUGGAUCAUGAAGGUAUUGUACUAACACUAGGUAUUGGUGCUAUGGUGUUAAGGGGUUUUAAUGAGAAUAUACAAAUAUGCUAAAAAUAUUGCAAAAUAAUCUACAUUAUUAUAUCAGAAAGACUAAAAGUUAAAUCAACUUCACUUCCUGCUAUACCUGAAAAACGUCUUUAUAGAUCACUAAUCUAUCUUUGGGGCGCAUAUCUUCUAGAGGUAUUUAAUCUACUUAAUUGGUCACAUCAUUUAAUGCCUCAUAAUAUGGUGAAUUUACAUACUUCCAGAGGUUUAGGCUGAGCAUAACUGGGAACAUGCCAAAACUCCCUGGAAUCUCAUCGAAAAAUUCAUAGAAUGAAAGAUUUAGAGUCUCUAUCAAGUGGGUUAAGUUACUUAAGCCUCGAGGGAGUGAACCAUUGAGAUUAUUUGAAGACAAGUCAAUGUGAGUGAGGUUUUGCUGGGUAGUGAUCCGUUGUUGCAAAGGCCCAUAAAGAAAGUUCUCUGAUGGGUCAAGAAAAGUGAAGAAAGUGCACCAAUCUCCGAUGGAAUAUAGCCCUGAGGUUCUUGCUGAUAAUAUCAAUGGAGCUGACCUUAUGGUGGAUGUCAUCACAUGUGAUUCCAGCCCAUUUGCAUGAUUCGAAAGGGCUUGUUUUGGAUCUUCUGUAAUGGCUGCUUUGAGUGCCAAUAAAGAGACGCCAUCUGAAGUCAGUGAAAAAGAUAAUGAAAUGAAAAAUGACUAGAAG
rnacentral:lncRNA from 1 species